rnacentral:lncRNA from 1 species
UUCCCAUUACCAGAAUAUGACCAGGGUGAGACUGUGAAAUACAAAUGUGCAAGUUUCUACAUCCUGGAAGGACCUGAGCAAAUCACCUGCAUUGAUGGGCAGUGGACAAAUCCCCCAGUUUGCUUGGGUAGGUGGAAGCUGGUGCUGCGUGGCCCAGAGCUGUGUGAGCUGCUCGUUGUCUUUCUCUCAGGCCCUGCGUGCGCUGCACUUGUGAAGCAGCGCUUGUGUUGGGGCUGCGAUGCUGACAGGGCAGAAGAGCAGCUGGUGCUUCUCCUGUGCAGAAGGAAUUUCCUCUGGAGGUCAGCUCGUGUACCUGCCUCUUCUGCCUGCUGUCCCUCCCUGCCCCCAGACACCAGCAGAUCCAGGAGGGUGGUUUGGUCUGAGUGCAAGGAAAUCCAGGGCCACGGGGGAAUGAAUUUGAGAAGCGCUGGGACGAGGGCAAGGAGAGGGCCCAAAAAAGACACAGGGGAGGUCAUUCCUGCCUUCUGGGUGCCCCUGCCCCAGGCUGUGCUUCCCCCUUGCCCUGUGAGACUGUCAGAGGGCAAAGGCUUCUCCACAACAGUGUGUAGUGACUCAGCCAUCAUUGUUUUUCCCUUUUGCCUUCUUAAGAAUGUCUUUCCUGUUGGAAAACUCAGAGGCGGCUUGUACGGCCUCUGAAGAAGAUAUGGACAGAAACAAUAUUGAGCUGAGAUGGAGAGAAGAAAGAAAACUGUACUCAACAUCAGGCGAUUUUAUUGAAUUUGAUUGUAAAAUAGGACAUGUGCAGGACCCAGCAUCUUCCCGCUUCAGAGUGCAGUGCAUGGACGGGACAUUAGAAUACCCACGGUGCAAGCCAGGAAGUAAGUCACCUCCACUCUGUCACUGCUUGGCCGCUGCCUUGGUGCAUUUUUAGCGCAGAAGCUGGGAAGAAAACCCCUAGCAAGUGUGCCUGGGGAAGAAAUAGCGGGGCUCCAAGGUGGGAGAGCACCCUGCAAAGCUGCAGGCCAUGAGGGGUGGUUCCCCCAGGAAGCCGCCGACUGGCGAACCUGAGCUGGAAAGGCUCCUGGGGAACGCGCUCGCUGGGGCUCAUCAGGGUUACUGGUGCUGGGCCUGCCCGGCUGGUUCCAGGCAGGAUGGAAGGGCUGGUAAGUUCCCUGCAAGUGGCUUCUCUGAAAUCAGAAGGUGCCAUGGACUGUGGCAGGGCUGAAGGGAGGGAGACCAUUUCCUUGCAGGCUCUCCCAAGCCUGCCUGUUCAGGCAGGGCUUUGUCCC